CCUUGGAGCGGAGAGCAUAAGCUUGGUGCUAUAAAUGCAAGAAAAAUAUUUCAAACUUUCGAAACAUUAAUUUUGACAUUUCAAUCACCCGCGGAUGCAAUGAUUUUUUUGAAAAACACGUUGUCCCUAUCGAACCGAACGGCUAUCUUGCACGUGCGAGGAUGUCUUUCAUUGUACCAUUGGCUAUGAAUAGCAGAGGAAUGGGACAGGAAAAGCAUAAGAGGUAAUAGCAGAGGAAUGGGAGACGCAGAGGCGGUGAUGGCAAAGCAAUGGGAGAGGACGGGUUUUUCUUUUGUCAGGCAAUCUGAAGACUAUUCUUUGAAUUGUUGCCUAACAUUCAAGGAUUGGACUUGCCACACACAGGGCAUCUAUCUCAUGGAUUCAUGAUUGCACAGAGAUGAGUAUCUGCAAUAUCUAUUUAUUUUAAAUCCAUGCCAUACUGCGUGGAUGAAUCUAAAGUUGCAUUCUUUUCAUUUCUAUUAGUAAUAAAUUGAAUAAAGUACAAAAUUUAGGAAUAUUCGUUGUGAUUUAUGUAAUAUUGGUUCGUUAUUGUAUUUGUUUUCUUUUGGGAUAGAUGACUCAUUGAUUAGGAAUGCUUGAGACGACUGGUAUUCCUUUUAGGAAUGCUUUAGAGGACUGGUAUUCCUUUUAGUAAUGCUCAUGAUUACUGGUGCAAGUGCAUAUCUUCAAGACAUUGACCAGUCUCAAAAUCACCAUGUAUAAGAAUUGUGUAUUUUCAUAUAAUUUUUUGAGGAAUUGAGUCAUUCCAAAAUAAUUUUCUUCUCCAGAGAUUUGGUAUUUUCAGUAUGGGGAUGUCUUUUGUAAGUUCACGUUGGAUUUAGCAUUUAACCAUGUACAAUUUGGUGGAGUUUCACGGCAACCAGGUAAAUUAGUCAGAUUUGUUUUUUUUCUUCUUGAUUAUUCAUUAGUGUUGAUGUCAUUUGGACUGGGUAUUGGUAAGAUUUGAGUUAGAUUGUAAAUGCAGGCCUUUAGGCUUUCUACUGGGACUUGCCUUAGCUCUCUUGGCCUUCCCUGUAGGUGUUGUAACUUGUAAGUGUUCUUGUUUGGAUAGUGGAGCAAUACUUUUUUUUCUUUAUGGGUUUUAAUGUUUUUACUUCUGAUACAUAACAUUGUAAAUGCAGCAUCAUACAUUAUUAUUUUAAGAUUUUUUAUAUGAACAUAGUCUUCUUAAUUACUGUUGCAAAUGACGAUUAGAUAAGAGCCUUUGCCUGAUAUGAAGCAUAUUUAGCCUGUCAAAUGGAAUUCUUUAUGUUGUUAACCUUUUUGACUUUUUCGAUUUCUAUUGUAAAGGAGUUGUUAUGCCCCGUGAUGAGUUUCAUGUGCUGGAAAAACAGUAGGGCGUGGAUUUGAUUCAACUGACAAGCUCAAUGUUAUCACUGAAAAUCAUGAAAGUACAGUCCUGGCAGUGAAUUGCUUGGUUCUUUCAGAGAAUCGAUGGCAUUGAAUUGUUGAAAUUAUUCAGGUGACAAAAGACAAUCAACCUCUGACAAGUGCACUCCACGAAUGAGGAAAGUCACCCUCACCUUCCAUAUGGCUUGAUAUUCAUGGUUUCCUGUCCCUUCAAACAUGUAUUUAAAUUUAUGACAAUGAUUAUACUAACCGUCUUGGCUGAUUGUUAUCUCAAUUUAUAUCUUUUUAUGUAAUCUUCACCUGUUUAUCUG